AACUACCAAUGAUAUUGGUAUAUUAUAGUCAAUGUGUUUCAGGAUUCGAUUUUCAAAGGUAACUUGUUUUAUAGUUUUAUGAAAUAACUUCCUUGGAAUCAGUUCAACUAGAUACAUUAAAAUUUAAACUGCGCAGAAAGCGCAAGGAGGUUUCAUAUAUUAUGAAACAAGGUACUGUUAAAUGGUUCAACGCUGAUAAAGGUUAUGGCUUCAUUACUACUGACGAUGGUGACGUAUUUGUUCACUUCUCAGCUAUCAACAAAGACGGCUUCAAGUCAUUAGACGAAGGCCAACACGUAACCCUUGACGUUGAAGACAGCGACCGUGGCCCACAAGCUGCCAACGUUACUGUUGUUGACGACUAAUUAAAAACUAAUUUUUAAAGCCGACGAGUGAUCGUCGGUUUUUUGU
rfam:Lactobacillus farraginis DSM 18382 = JCM 14108 DNA, contig: JCM14108.contig00003.